AGCAGUCAGGGCAGUGUGCCACAGGGAAGGGCAGAGAGCAAACGCCUUUGCAGUCAUCUCUUGUCCCAUCACUCCACGGCAAUGCUCUGUCUCAGAUCAGCCUCUAACGGACUUUAACUGCCCAUCGAUACAACCCAGAGUCACCCGAGAAUGAGUCUUAAUGAUGAGUCUGUGGAUCAGCCUGUGUUUGAGGGACGGUCUCAACUUUUAACUGAUGUGGGAAGACCCAGCCAUUGUGAGCGGCGCCGCUCAUUACGUGGGGGUUCCUGAAAUGCAGGAGAACAGCUAGCUGACAGCAGGAAACAGGAAACCCAGCAACAUGGAACCGUCAACAAGUAGAGACAAAAGGUCUAACUAAAACCUGUUAUUUCUUGUCACGGCCAUGACAAGGACUCACCAUCAAGAAAGAAGUUUGAGACAAUCAUCUCUCUACUCCAGUCAAACACAACAGAAGAAGGAACACAGAGAUGUGAAGGAAUAAACUUGUUCCUGUUUGCAGUGAAUGAGAUGGGUAAACACAUAGAAGUCUCCAAGGAGUGAAACUAAAUAAACGUUUGUGAAUUCG